UCCUCUACAAUCACUACAAGCUUAACUUGUCUGUAAAGGCUUUGCUGUGCAGAGGAUUCUGAAAGUGAAAUUGGGGGACCCUCUUCCCCUGAAAGUUUCUGCUUCUGUUAUUUGCUCAGGGGAUAAAAGUUUUGAGUGAAUAUCAGUCACUGAAACUGAGGAGGAGUUUCUAGUGGGUGGUGACUAAGCGAAGUGUGUGAACUUGGGCUCCAAGAAGACAUUCUGUGACUACAGGAAGGAAGAUUCUGAAGAUCACCUGCAAGAUAAAGUAUUG